GUGAGGAAUAUUGCGCAAUGGAGGCAACUCUGACGCAGCCAUGUCGCGUGCAGGAAGAAGGCGCUACGCGUUGUAAACUGCUUUUAACCGGGAAGAAACCCCAGGACGUGUCCUGGGUUGACGGUACCGGAGGAAUAAGCACCGGCUAACUUCGUGCCAGCAGCCGCGGUAAUACGAAGGGUGCAAGCGUUAUCCGGAUUCAUUGGGUUUAAAGGGUGCGUAGGCGGAGCGUUAAGUCAGUGGUGAAAUCCUGCAGCUUAACUGUAGACUUGCCAUUGAUACUGGCGCUCUUGAGUGCGCUUGAAGUGGGCGGAAUGUGCCGUGUAGCGGUGAAAUGCUUAGAUAUGGCACAGAACACCAAUUGCGAAGGCAGCUCACUAAGGCGAUACUGACGCUGAGGCACGAAAGCGUGGGGAUCGAACAGGAUUAGAAACCCGUGUAGUCC
rnacentral:rRNA from 1 species